rnacentral:misc_RNA from 1 species
UCCGGCUUAUCACCGGCGGUUUCUUUAGAGUGCCCAACUAAAUGAUGGCAACUAAAGACGAGGGUUGCGCUCGUUGCGGGACUUAACCCAACAUCUCACGACACGAGCUGACGACGGCCAUGCAGCACCUGUGCACGGACCUUGCGGGGGAACCAUCUCUGGAACUUACCCGUGCAUGUCAAGCCUUGGUAAGGUUCUUCGCGUUGCAUCGAAUUAAUCCGCAUGCUCCGCCGCUUGUGCGGGCCCCCGUCAAUUCCUUUGAGUUUCAGCCUUGCGGCCGUACUCCCCAGGCGGGGCACUUCAUGCGUUAGCGCCGGCACUCAAGGGGUCGCUCCCCCAAGCACCUAGUGCCCAUCGUUUACGGCGUGGACUAC